AUCAUAAAUUCUUUUGUUUGUUUCUUUUCUAUACAGCGUUGUCUUGUAUAAUUUCCCUCUUUCUCUUGCUUAUCCGUGUAAUUCAUUGUGGUUAUUUGAUCAAUGCGGAAGAAAAAGCAGAGGC
rnacentral:ribozyme from 13 species